rnacentral:rRNA from 1 species
ACCGACUAGGCUACACUAAACUUGUAUUUAAAUGUAAGCUUGUCCAUACAACCUCAUCUGAUUUCUAAAGCUAAGCAGGGUUGGGCCUGGCUAGUACUUGGUUGGGAGACCGCUGGGAAUGCCAGGUA